GGGGUUGUUUGUAUUCAUUGUGAAGUUGGUUACCUCAACGUCUCUCUUCUGCAGGCUCCUCAGCAGCUCCUCCAACGCGUGGAUGCCGCUCGUGUCGAUGUCCGUGACGGCUGCAGGAAUCAAACAACGUUAAAAUGAAAGCAUAUUUGGAGCAAAGCAAUCAAGAGGCCAAUCUCAACUGAGGCGAAAACCACACCGAAGAAGGCUCCCAUGCAGGCGAUGAAAUCGAACUUGUCAAUCUUCCAUAUGAGAAGUGCUGCCUCGUAGUCAAUCAGGCCGAUGACAGCUGAGAUGAUGAUGGAGGAGAGGAUUGCGUUUGGGGUGUGCUCGAAGAGAGGGGUCAUGAACUGCAGCGUCAUGAACACGACAACGGACAUCACGAUGUUUGAAACGGCCGUUUGGCAGCCGGCCAUGUAGUUCACAGCAGAGCGUGAGAAGGAGCCUGCAAAAUGAACAUCAUCUCUAUAUGCCUUCAAUUUUUUUUAAUGAAAUGAGCUUGAUUUAUGUUUUAUACCUGUAGCGACGUAGCAAGACGUCAUUGAGCCAGCAACAUUCAUUGCUCCAAGAGCCACCAUUUCUUUGUUCCCAUCUAUUUGAUAGUCCUUCAUGGCAGCAAAUGUUCUUCCAAUUGCAACUGCUUCCUGGUGCAAUAAAGGGAAGAUGUUGGACUACUUUUCUACAUGAUUAGAGAUGAAGGUUUUCGGAGAGAAACAACAGCUUACAGUGAGUGCAAUGAUUCCAGCAACUAAGCCGAUCCUAACGCCUUUCAAGAGGUAAUCACCCGUGAAAUAGAUUUCACCUACUGAUGCUGGAUUGAUGCCUUUCUCUAUGUGUUUCACCUGUUUUUGAUAGUUCAAGAUUCAAACUUUAUGGCUUAUAAACUGAUGGAAAUCACAAAAAUUCCUUACAAUCUGCACUCCUUUCUUCUCUGCGUGAGUGAUGUAGACGAAGAAGGUGGACAGAACGACCGAUACAAGUGGAGCAAUCGCAGAAACACCAGAAAUGCUGCUCCAAUUGCUAUUGUAGGCCAGUUCCACUGCAGAUACAUAUAAUGCAAGUAUUAUAACUUGAGCUUGAAUCCUAAGUGGAGAGAGAGAAAGAAAGAGAGAGAGAGAACUGACUCCAUGGUGAGCGGAGCUGAAGACCGACUGCAUCACAGAGAUGAGAUCAGCCUUCUUAGUGAAAUUCUUGAUUCCUAAGAACCCCUUGAGCUGCUGGAGUGCAAUGGUUAUGGCAGCGCCGCCCAUGAAGCCAACAACGGCAGCAUGAGACAGGAAAUCAAUCAAGAACCCCAAUCUGUCACACAAAACGCAGUAUGAAAACAGAUGCAUUUGACAAGAAAUUUCAAAAGAGUUAUCACCUAAGAAUGCCAAGUGUUGCUUGUGUUAUCCCAGCAAAGAAGGUUGCAGUGAAGGCGAGCCUCCGAUACUCCAAAGGAUGUUUUAUAGGAUCAAUUUCGUUUUGUAGCAAAGUUCCCAGCAGGAGGGAUACAACAGCAACCGGCCCUAUGGCUAUGUCUCUCGAGCUCCCCAUCAAUGCAUACACCAAAGGCGGGACAAAGCUCGAAUCUGAUAUGACAAACACGACUCAUGAAAAUCUACUCGAGAGCAGAACAAUGAUCAGCAAGAAAUCACUCACAUAAACCAUACUGUGGAGACAAAUUUGCAAGCUUGGAGUAGCCAAUGUCCUGUUGCACCAAAUACAGCAAAUAAAAAUCAAAAUGUUAUAUAUAUGUAUAUGCCUUAAUUAUUUAUUGUAUGCAACAAUUUAAACCUGAGGUAUGCAGAGGCUGGCAAUGGUGAGUCCUGCAAUGAGGUCUCCUUUAAAGUUGGCAAGAUUGUAUCUUUUGCCCCAUUCAAGAAUGGGGAAGACGGCCUGCAUUCCAAGAACGAACUUCCUAGACCUCGACUGGUCCUUGAAGGGGUGGAGAGGAUCAUCGGAGAAGAAAGUCUCCUUCAACGUGCUACAGAAUUCGCUCCAGAACUUCUGCUUUGGUGGAACACCAACUCUGUAUGGCAUGCUUCUCAUCAUAGACUCCUCGCUAUGGCCAUCCAUCUGCAUUGUCAAAUACACUUACUAUAACUCUUCAUUUUUUUAUGUCACUCUAUUUAUAAUAAAUUCUUCCAACAAA